UUGGAGGGCAAGUCUGGUGCCAGCAGCCGCGGUAAUUCCAGCUCCAAUAGCGUAUAUUAAAGUUGUUGCAGUUAAAAAGCUCGUAGUUGAAUUUCGGGGUCAGUAGAUUGGUCGUGCCACUGGUAUGUACUGGUCUUACUGGCUCCUCCUUCCUGAUGAACCGUAAUGCCAUUAAUUUGGUGUUGCGGGGAGACUGGACUGUUACUUUGAAAAAAUUAGAGUGUUUAAAGCAGGCUAACGCUUGAAUACAUUAGCAUGGAAUAAUGAAAUAGGACGUUCGAUCUUAUUUUGUUGGUUUCUAGGAUUGACGUAAUGAUUAAUAGGGAUAGUUGGGGGCAUUAGUAUUCAAUUGUCAGAGGUGAAAUUCUUGGAUUUAUUGAAGACUAACUACUGCGAAAGCAUUUGCCAAGGAUGUUUUCAUUAAUCAGGAACGAAAGUUAGGGGAUCGAAGACGAUCAGAUACCGUCGUAGUCUUAACCAUAAACUAUGCCGACUAGGGAUCGGAUGAUGUUAAUUUUUUAAUGACUCAUUCGGCGCCUUACGGGAAAC
rnacentral:rRNA from 1 species